rnacentral:rRNA from 1 species
AUUAAGGGCAUACGGAGGAUGGCUAGACAGAACGUGCCGAUGAAGGACGUAGCAGCCUGCGAUAAGCUUCGGGGAGGUGGCAAGCAACCUUUGAUCCGGAGAUUUCCGAAUGGGGAAACCCGUUACGUUGAAGGCGUAUCAUCUACCGCUGAAUAUAUAGGCGGUAUGAAGGGCACCUGGGGAAGUGAAACAUCUCAGUACCCAGAGGAAAGGAAAAAGAUUAACUCGCUUUGUGUUCAAAGUGUUCUUCGAACAUUUUGAACAUUUAAGUGAGUCCAUUCCCUAAGUAGUGGCGAACGAAAGGGGAACAGUCCAAACUUUUUUAGUGAAACCUUCCGGAUCUUUUCUUUAUGGAGAGUGAAGGAUGGUGAAAGGUGGCAGCCGUUGCUAAAAAAGUGUUGUAAGAUGUUUGUGUGAUUUUCUGCCGAAAGUCGACUUUAGCACGAUAUAUAACAGAAUUCGCUGGAAAGCGAAACCACAGAAGGUGAUAGUCCUGUAAGUGAAAUAUUUCGUGUUACGGUUACAAACACUCUUGAGUACCACGAGACUCGCGAAAUCUUGUGGGAAUCUGCCGCGACUAUGUGGCAAGACUAAAUACGCGUUCUGAUCGAUAGUGAACCAGUACCGUGAGGGAAAGCUUAAAAGAACCCCGGAAGGGGAAUGAAAUAGUAUCUGAAACCGUAUGCUUACAAGGAGUUAGAGUCCCACCGUAGCCCGUAAGGGCGAAGGGGGAUGAUAGCGUUCCUAUUGAAGAAUGAGCCAACGAGUGUGCUGCGUGUCGCUCGGUUAAGCCUUAAGGGGCGAAGCCAUAGUGAAAGCAAGCGUUCACCCGCGUUCUCUGACUUUGUUCAAGGAUCCGUAGAGGUAUAAAAUUUUAUGCCUUCUAUAGCCCUUGAACAUAGUCAGAAGGUGGCACGCACACGACCCGAAACCGAGUGAUCUAACCAUGGCCAGGGUGAAGCGAGUGUAAUAGCUCGUGAAGGCCCGAACCCACGCGCCGUACAACACGCGGGGAUGAGCUGUGGUUAGCGGAGAAAUUCCA